GUACACACCGCCCGUCGCUACUACCGAUUGAAUGGAUUAGUGAGCUUCACGGAUUGCUGCGUGGUAGGUUUCUAUCACGCAACGAGAAGUGAAUCAAACUUGCUCAUUUAGAGGAAGUAAAAGUCGUAACAAGGUUUCCGUAGUGAACCUGCAGAAGGAUCA
rnacentral:rRNA from 1 species